rnacentral:rRNA from 1 species
UACGAAGGGGGCUAGCGUUGCUCGGAAUCACUGGGCGUAAAGCGCACGUAGGCGGGUCUUUAAGGCAGGGGUGAAAUCCUGGAGCUCAACUCCAGAACUGCCUUUGAUACUGAGGAUCUCGAGUCCGGGAGAGGUGAGUGGAACUCCGAGUGUAGCGGUGAAAUGCGUAGAGAUCGGGAAGAACAUCGGUGGCGAAAGCGCUCUACUGGACGGUAUCUGACACUGAGGUGCGAAAGCGUGGGGAGCAAACAGG